rnacentral:rRNA from 1 species
GACAGAGGUCCCGAGCGUUAGGCGGAAUCACUGGGCUUAAAGCGUGUGUAGGCGGAUCGUUAAGUACCUUGUGAAAUCCCACAGCUUAACUGUGGAACUGCUUGGUAUACUGCCAGCUCUGAGCCAGCUAGGGGCUACCGGAACAAAUGGUGGAGCGGUGAAAUGCGUAGAUAUCAUUGGAACGCCAAUGGUGAAAACAGGUAGCUGGGGCUGUGCUGACGCUGAGACACGAAAGCCAGGGGAGCGAACGGG